UGAUACAUGAAUCUCUGGCGAUUUUACGGUCUAGCCAAUGAAAUCACAUAGAAGUAUUUGCAUAAUAGUAUGAUUUCAUAACUGCCUUCCCAAAGCGGGUAGACAGUGAGCGACAGUCUGCCCAUUUUAGACUUGAAGGCAAAGGCACAUAGCUAAAAGUUUUGCAAGCUGUUAUUGUCACAAAGUAUGACCAAUUGGUUCUGAUGGUUGCUCUUGCAUUCACGCCCAUAAUAAUUCUGACCUGCUCCUUAGCGCACAUCAUCGAUUGAUUGUUCAAGGUUACUUGCUAGGUAUCUCCAUGUGAUGGAGCUGAGAAAUACUGGAAACUGGUAGCAUAUGAUGGUCAAGAUCAUUCCUCUCACCAUUUGUUGGCCGGGAGCGGUGGUAGUCUCGGUCGUCUCACAUAUGUAAUACCUGAUGGCAGGCUUCGUCGUACCAACAGAUUGCUUGAGUCAAUCAUGCUCGUAUGGAGAUAUUUUUAGCUUUUUCGCGUAGAAGCACCUGCAUCCAAGCGGUCCUGCGUAUCGAGUAUGAGAGUUUAACAUUCGAGAAGUAAGAAAUAUUUACCCAUAGAGAAGCGACAAACAUGUCUUUCAUGGCAAGAGAUAAAUUCAAGGAUAAAUUACUACACCUUAUAAACUACAGUACUAUAUUGUUCUCUUAGUUCCACCAACUUAAAUUGCUAUCCAUGUUGUUACAGAAAAUUUUAGCUAUUAUAUUUCAGAUCGUAUGACGCGCUUUCGUUUACUUUGUAUGCACAGACUGUUUACCUCCUUGAUCUACAGUUUUAUAUCGCAAAUAGCUGAUCCAAACAGGGGCCAGUGGGUUACCUCUUGUCUUGGUCCUCUCACAAAGGUAUGGUUCACUGCACAUGGUUUCAAUCCUUGGCUUUCCGGCACGGUGGCAUUUACGACAGUGUCUACCUGAAAAACUGAACGAACCCGUGUGUCGAACACAACAUCAUCAAUAGAAUUCAUAGAUAAUGGCACUUGCUACUCAAUGCAUACAUGUGUACCUUCGUCAUUACUGCGGUAGAUCGGGUCGUCGGCUCUUGCCCCUUCCAUGAUGUGCCUAGUACUUGAGCCCUAUUAAGAGUGAAUUUUAAACGCAAGAGGAUUGUUAUUAGCAUGGUCCUGGCAAGAUUAGUCUUUAACAACAAACAAUCAGAUUAUGGUCAUAUUCACAUCUGAUAUCCAACAAUGCAUUGACAACCAAACCUGGAGCUAAUAGAGGGUACAUCAGAACUGAAUCUAUAAAUGUUCACCAAAUCUGAAUUUAUCCAUGCAAUCGGUACAGUUUCUGUAACCAUGUGUGUAUUAGUAGCAGGAAAAUAAUACUGGCAUACCAA
rnacentral:lncRNA from 1 species